AUAAGCAUAUCAAUAAGCGGAGGAAAAGAAACCAACAGGGAUUGCCCUAGUAACGGCGAGUGAAGCGGCAACAGCUCAAAUUUGAAAUCUGGCUUCGGCCCGAGUUGUAAUUUGCAGAGGAAGCUUUGGGCGCGGUACCGACUGAGUCCCCUGGAACGGGGCGCCACAGAGGGUGAGAGCCCCGUAUAGUUGGACGCCUAGCCUGUGUAAAGCUCCUUCGACGAGUCGAGUAGUUUGGGAAUGCUGCUCAAAAUGGGAGGUAAAUUUCUUCUAAAGCUAAAUACCGGCCAGAGACCGAUAGCGCACAAGUAGAGUGAUCGAAAGAUGAAAAGCACUUUGAAAAGAGGGUUAAAUAGCACGUGAAAUUGUUGAAAGGGAAGCGCUUGUGACCAGACUUGCGCCCGGCUGAUCAUCCGGUGUUCUCACCGGUGCACUCUGCCGGGCUCAGGCCAGCAUCGGUUCUCGCGGGGGGAUAAAGGUCCUGGGAACGUAGCUCCUCCGGGAGUGUUAUAGCCCAGGGCGCCAUGCCCCCGCGGGGACCGAGGACCGCGCUCUGCAAGGAUGCUGGCGUAAUGGUCAUCAGCGACCCGUCUUGAAACACGGACCAAGGAGUCAAGGUUUUGCGCGAGUGUUUGGGUGUAAAACCCGCACGCGUAAUGAAAGUGAACGUAGGUGAGAGCUUCGGCGCAUCAUCGACCGAUCCUGAUGUUUUCGGAUGGAUUUGAGUAGGAGCGUUAAGCCUUGGACCCGAAAGAUGGUGAACUAUGCUUGGAUAGGGUGAAGCCAGAGGAAACUCUGGUGGAGGCUCGCAGCGGUUCUGACGUGCAAAUCGAUCGUCAAAUCUGAGCAUGGGGGCGAAAGACUAAUCGAACCAUCUAGUAGCUGGUUACCGCCGAU
rnacentral:rRNA from 1 species